rnacentral:ncRNA from 1 species
CAGAGUAGAAGCUGUGCGUAAAGUGUUUCACGGACGGGGAGUUGCCGCGAAAACGAAAGAGAUUUCUCUGCGAUACAGCGUUCGCAUCCCGCUGU